rnacentral:rRNA from 1 species
UACGUAGGGGGCUAGCGUUGUCCGGAAUCAUUGGGCGUAAAGCGCGUGUAGGCGGCCCGGUAAGUCCGCUGUGAAAGUCGAGGGCUCAACCCUCGAAAGCCGGUGGAUACUGUCGGGCUCGAGUGCGGGAGAGGCGAGUGGAAUUCCUGGUGUAGCGGUGAAAUGCGCAGAUAUCAGGAGGAACACCGAUUGCGAAGGCAGCUCGGUGGAACGUAACUGACGCUGAGACGCGAAAGCGUGGGGAGCAAACAGG